rnacentral:ribozyme from 1 species
AAAUUCACCGUGGAAAUGGCACCGUUGGGGAUGAUGCCUCAUGCGUAUCAUUUAUUCUUAAAACAAGUCUAUCACGAAUUAUGGGACAAUACGUU